rnacentral:rRNA from 1 species
GAUGAACGCUGGCGGCGUGCCUAACACAUGCAAGUCGAGCGAACAGACGAUGAGCUUGCUCUUCUGACGUUAGCGGCGGACGGGUGAGUAACACGUGGAGAAUCUCCCUAUAAUACUGGGAUAACUACGGGACACCAGAGCUGAUACCGUAUAAUAUAUUGCACCGCAUGGUUCAAUAGUGAAUGUCGGUUUUGCUGUCACUUAUAGAUGGUUCCGCGCCGCAUUAGCUAGUUGGUAAGGUAACAGCUUACCAAGGCAACGAUGCGUAGCCGACCGGAGGGCGUGGUCGGCCACACGGGAACUGAGACACGGUCCAGACUCCUACGGGAGGCAGCAGUAGGGAAUCUUCCGCAAUGGGGGAAAGCCUGACAGAGCAACGCCGCGUGAGUGAUGAAGGUCUUCGGAUCGUAAAACUCUGUUAUUAGGGAAGAACAAAUGUGUAAGUAAAUAUGCAGGUAUUGACGGUACCUAAUGAGAAAGCCACGGCUAACUACGUG